AGAUAAAUUUUUUAUAUUUUAUAUAAUUUAUUAUAAAUUUAUUUUACAUGUAAAUUUUAGUAUAAAAUUUUAAUUAUUUAAAUAAUAAUUAAUUUAAUUAUACAGUAAUUAAAAUUAAAAAUUUAAGAAAUUAAGAUUUAGUAAUAUUUAAAUUAAUAACUAAUUUUGUGCCAGCAGUUGCGGUUAAACAAAAGUUAAAUUAAAUUAUUUCAGUAUAAAAUAAAUAAUUAAUGAUUAAAUUAAAUAUUAAAUUAUUAAGUGAAAUUUUAAUUUAAUUAAAAAUUAUAUUAAAAUUAUGAAUUAAUAAAUUUUAUUAUAAACUAGGAUUAGAUACCCUAUUAUUAAAAAUUUAAUUAAUAAUACUAAAAUAGUAAAUAAAAUAUUAUUGAAACUUAAAUAAUAUGGCGGUAUUUUAGUUCAUUUAGAGGAAUCUGUCUAAUAAUUGAUAAUCCACGAGUAAAUUUACUUAAUUUAUAAUUUUGUAUAUCAUUGUUAAAAAAAUAUUUUUAAAUAAAAAUAAUAUUUUAAAAUUUAAAAUAAAAUUUAAUUCAGAUCAAGAUGCAGAUUAUAAUUAAGUUUAAGAUGGAUUACAAUAAAUUUAUUUAAACGAAAAGAAUUUUGUAAUAUAUAAUUGAAGGUGGAUUUAAAUGUAAUUUUAAUUAGUUUAUUAAAAUGAUUAAAAAUUGAAAUAUGUACAUAUUGCCCGUCACUUUCAUUUAAAAGUUGAAAUAAGUCGUAACAAAGUAGAGGUACUGGAAAGUGUUUCUAGAAUGAC
rnacentral:ncRNA from 1 species